rnacentral:rRNA from 1 species
AUUGAACGCUGGCGGCAGGCCUAACACAUGCAAGUCGAGCGGAUGAAGCCAGCUUGCUUCUGGUUUCAGCGUCGGACGGGUGAGUAAUGCCUAUGAAUCUGCCUGGUUGUGGGUGAUAACGUCUUCAAACGGGCGCUAAUACUGCAUACGUCCUGCGGCUGCUAGUGGGGGAUCUUCGGACCUCACGCUCUCAGAUGAGCCUAGGUCGGGUUUGCUAGUUGGUGGGGUAAAGGCCUACCAAGGCGACGAUUCGUAACUGGUCUGAGAGGAUGAUCAGUCACACGGGAACUGAGACACGGUCCAGACUACUAAGGGAGGGAGCAGUGGGGAAUAUUAGACAAUGGGCGAAAGCCUGAUACAGCCAUGCCGCGUGUGUGAAAAAGGUCUUCGGAUUGGAAAGCACGUUAAGUUGGGAGGAAGGGCAGUAAGUUAAUACCUUGCUGUUGUGACGUUAACAACAGAAUAAGCACCGGCUAACUUCGUG